rnacentral:tRNA from 1 species
CGGAGUGUAGCGCAGCCCGGUAGCGCACUUGUCUGGGGGACAAGGGGUCGUCGGUUCAAAUCCGGCCACUCCGACCA